UCAUUUUUAAUAAACCCUUGCUUUUGUUCUUUCAUCGCUCCAUUUUUUCCUUGCUUUUCUGUGUGUUUUCUCCAACUCUUUGUUCAAAAACCCCAAGAACCUAGACAACUUUCAGUCAAAACCCUCUACAGGAAACAUAUUUUGGCAAGCCAGCCAGGAGAGAAGACCACUAUGGGCAAUUCUCCACCUAUUCCACCUGAUUGCCCGCUUGGCUACAUCCUCCACCAUUGGAAUCAAUUUGACCCUGACAAUCUAAAGAGAAAGCAUAUAAUUUUUUUCUGCAGUACUGUCUGGCUCCAUUAUGAGCUGCCCAGCCUGGAAAAAAUGGGUAGUCAAUGGUAGCCUUAAUUAUGACAUCAUCCUGCAAUUAGACCUAUUUUGCAAGAGGCAGGGCAAAUGGCCAGAAAUCUUGUAUGUACAGACUUUCAUGACCCUAUACCAAAACCUAAGAAUCUGUGAAACUCCCAGAACCCACCCCACAAAGGAAAGUUCUAAGGGAGAACUACAUAUUAUAGAUGACCCCCGCUUACAAGGGCCACCUGUCUCUCAGAGUGAACAGUGACCACUCCCAUACAGCCCAGGAGCAAACACCAGAGACCCUACUAAGUCCCCCUCACAUUCGGAGGGGAACCCUGUAUUCAACUCUCCUUCCAGCCCUGCUACACCUUAGGGAAGUAGCAGGAGUUGAGGGGCCAGUCCUAGUGCAGGCCCCCUUCUCUACAACUAAUAUACAACAAUGUAAGGAAAGGCUAGGAAGCUGUUCUGAGAAUCCUAGGAAAUUUGCAGAUGGGUUCCAAACUUUGACCUUAGCCUUUCAUCUCUCAUGGAGAGAUGGUCAAUUCAUUCUAGCAAUGAAUUGACCUGUUGACACUCCCUCAGAAAAGGAACACAUCUUUGAGGCUGCCAGCAAGGAAGUGGAUGAAUUAUCCGCCUGAAACCCUCAGGGCAAUUACCGAGGCCCAGACACAGUUCCCACUACUGAUCCUAAUUGAGACUAUAACGCCCCCAUGGGAAUGAACCACUGGGCUAAAUUUCUUGAGACUGUCCUUGGAAGAAUGAGAAAGGGAUUAACUAAGGGAGUAAAUUAUGAUAAAGUAUGGGAGGUUACACAAGGCAAGAAGGAAAAUCCAGCCAUGUUUUAUGGUAGGCUGGAGGAAGCCUUUAAAUAUAUACUAAUCUGGACCCUUCCUCUCCCAAAGGCAAAAUAUUAAUGGCACAGCAUUUCAUUAGCCAGUUUGCCCCAGACAUUAGACGUGAACUCCAAAAGCUACAGAUGGGGCCACAAACUAAUCAAAAUCAACUUCUUGAUACUGCCUUUAUGGUGUAUAACAAUCAUGACCUGGAGGAAGGAAAAAGAGAACAGAGUAAAGAAAGAUGCAAGCCAAAAUUAUGGCAGCCCAUCAUUGGUGAUGCCCUGAACGCCCAAAGAGUGUCUAAGGGAAACCCGGAGGACCGUAAAGAUAAUGCCAGCAAAGGCAAGUCUUCCUUCAAAUGCAAGAAAAGCAGGCAUUGGGCAAAGGAAUGUACUAAGUACCCCCCCUCCCCGCCCAAGGCCCCUGCUGUCAGUGCAAAGGCACCAGUCAUGAACCCUAGCACUGGAGAAUUGACUGCCUUUGCUCCCACGGAGGGGCUGGGUUAGGCAAAACUCUAGCAGUGCGAAAGGAGGAAUCAGGUGAAGACUGAAGGGGCCCGGGAUCUUCCUCACUGCCCCUGUCCAGGAACAUUACAAUUACCUCUGGGGAGCCCCGAGUAACUCUGGAUGUCGUGGGCACCCAAAUUCAGUUUCAUUUUGAUGCAGGGGCAAAUUACUCUGUCCUUACUGCUUAUGCAGGGAAACUUUCCUCCUGGUCCAUGAGUGUUACAGGACUGGAAGGGAAACCACAAACCAGAUUUUUUACUCAUCCUUUGAUUUGUCAAUUUAAGAAACAAAUCUUCCAACAGGAAUGCCUAGUAGUAUCAAGCUACCCAACCCCCUGCUGGGAAGAGAGAUUAUGGUUAAAAUAAGGGCACUACUACAAUUUAAACAUCAUCCAGUGAAAUUGCUAAUAGCCAAAAAUACAGACAAUGUCCAAGACCACAUUAAUAAACAGGUUAACCUGCUGGCAUUGUAUACUAGAAAACCGGGGAAGGCUAAAACAGCAGUGCCAGUCAAAAUACAGCUUGAAGACCCCAGCUAUUUUCCUAAUCAAAAAUAAUACCCGAUUAAGCAGGAAGUGAGAAAUGACCCAGCACCCAUAGUUGAGGUAUUACUUACCCAUGGGCUCUUAAAACCCUGUAAUUCUCCCUGCAAUAUCCCCAUCUUACCUAUUCUAAAGCCUUUAGGGGAAUACUGGUUAGUAAGAACAGUUAAUAAAGAAACAAGGGGAACAAAAAGAAGGAUCCUGGUGGUAUAUGGGGUCAAAAAUAUAUCUCCCUCAGACAGCCCAGUAGAAAGUUAUAAAAGCCCUGCAUGACUCUUUCCAUAUUGGGAGGGAUGCAACUCUGAUUAUGGUAAACAAGCUCUUUACUGGGUCUAACUUCAGUGGCUAGGCAGGUCUGCGAAGCCUGCUCACUCUGUGCACUUAACAACCCGGGAAACAAAAUGCCCCCUCUAAUAGAACCAAUCCAGAGGAGAGGAAAGUUUCCAGGGGGAGAGUGGCAAUUAGACUUCACCUAUAUGCCAGCUUGCAGAGGAUACAAGUUUUUGUUAGUACUAGUAGAUACCUUUACUGGUUGGGUUGAAGUUUAUCCUACCAGAACACAGAAGGCUAAUGAGAUUAUAAAGGUUGUCUUAAAAGAAAUAAUCCCCUAGUUUGGGUUACCUCAGAGCCUCCAAAGUGAUAAUGUCCUGUCCUUUAUCUCCAAAUAACUUGAGCGGUUGCUAAGGUUCUUGGAAUCAAAUACCAUUUAUAUUCAGCAUGGAGGCCUCAAUCCUCCAGGAAAGUAGAAACGGGUAACCAAACUCUAAAACAGGUGUUAGCUAAGCUAUGUCAGGAAACAUCAGAAACUCGGGUCAGCUUACUGUCCAUCGCCCUCUUAAGGAUCCAUAAUACCUCUAGAGCAAAAAUUAAUAUAAGCGAAUAUAAUGAAAUGUUAUACAGAAGGCCAUUCUUAACUAAUAAUUACUGAUCCAGAAAUAGCCAGUUUAAAAUACCUAGUCAACCUAGGACAAUUUCAGCAGGCUUUAGAAAAGUGUGGAAUUCAAAGGCUCCCCUUACUGGGAACUAACCAGCAACCCCAAAUCAGGCCAGGAGAUAAGGUACUUGGUAAAACACAGAAGGAGGGAUCAACUGUUCAACAAUUACAACCCAAAUGGAAGGGACCAUGUCCAGUAAUACUGGCUAUGCCUUCUGCCAUCAAAGUACAAGGAUUAGAUGCAAGGAUUAGAUUGGGUACACCUUUCAAGGAUCAAACCAGCAAUACCAGAAGCUCCGGACCAGGAACCUGAAGCUUCCAUCAGCCACUACACCUGUGAACUUGUGGAAGCCCUGAAGUACCUGUUUAGAAGACAGCCAAAAGAUGAGUAAAUGCCUACCAAUUUUC